GAUGAACGCUAGCGGCAGGCUUAACACAUGCAAGUCGAGGGGCAGCGCGGGAUAGCAAUAUCCUGGCGGCGACCGGCGGAAGGGUGCGUAACGCGUGAGCGACAUGCCCGUUGCCCGGGGACAACCGGUGGAAACGCCGACUAAUCCCCGAUGGGAUAUUGUGCCGCAUGGCACGAUAUUGAAAGUUACGGCGGCGACGGAUUGGCUCGCGUCCGAUUAGCUGGUUGGCGGGGUAACGGCCCACCAAGGCUGCGAUCGGUAGGGGUUCUGAGAGGAAGGCCCCCCAAAAUGGGACUGAGACACGGCCCAUACUCCUACGGGAGGCAGCAGGGAGGAAUAUUGGUCAAUGGGCGGAAGCCUGAACCAGCCAUGCCGCGUGCGGGAAGGAGGCCCUAUGGGCUGUGAACCGCUUUUGCCUGGGGGCAAUAAGGGCGUCGCGCACGUCCGAUGAGAGUACCAGGCGAAUAAGCAUCGGCUAACUCCGUG
rnacentral:rRNA from 1 species